GUCAGGUUUUGGUUGCCAAACUGCACUUAUUAAAAUAAUAGAAGACUGGAAAAAAGCUCUGGACGAGAACAAAUUUAUUGCUGCAAUUUUGAUGGAUCUAUCUAAAGCAUUUGAUUGUUUACCGCACGAUUUACUUUUACUUAAAUUGGAAGCAUACGAUCUGUCUAAAAAUUCUCUAAAAUUAUUAAAAAGUUAUUUAGAAAACCGCAAAC
rnacentral:lncRNA from 1 species